rnacentral:misc_RNA from 1 species
UGUCUGAAUUUAUGCAUUUAUUUUUGUAAAAAAAAUUUCCAUCAAUAUUUUUUGUUAUCUAUUUUAAUAUGUAUAAAUAUUUUUAAAAAUAAUACUUAUCUUAGAAUAUGCAUUUUUUGUGGUUUGACUUCUUUGUUUCUGCAGCUUUGUCUUGACAACAUCAUCAGCUUUUAACCUUUUUUUAACAGUUUUUUUUUUUCAUUUGCUUAGUAUAAAAACUAUCAAAUUUUGUCAAAGCCUAAAAAUUUUUUGUCAAAUAACAUAGAUACUCAAAUAUAUGUGUUAAGCUUUAUUUUCAUUAUUAUCAACUGGUCUCAUUUAAUCAUAAUGAUUUAAGUCUUGUGACUUUUUUAUUUUUAAAACUUCCUUUUUUCUUUCAUAACUUAUCACUUGUAGUUGCAUUUAAAGAGUGCGAUCGAGAUUUUUGUAGUAUGAAUAUUUAUUUUUGUAUUGCUAAAAAAAAAAUCAUGGAAGCAAACCUGCGACUGAUGCCCAUACUAUAUUACUAAACUAAUCAAAUGACUACUACAGAGACUACGAUGUAAAAACUGUUCCUUGUGUUUUCCCUCCCAAGUUACCCUUUCAAAACAUAGAAUGUGGCAUCAUAAAGAAUACUUCCCAUUCUUCAAAUUCAACUGUGAGCUUUGUCCAUAUUCAACUCACAAUGGAACAAAUUUUAAAAAGCAUGCAUCUGUGCAUGAUGCUAGAAGACCUUAUCUGUGUCAUAUUUGUGGUAAUAGGUUUUGUUCUAGUCAAAGCUUGGGUAGCCAUCUGAUAAUCCAUACAGGAGAAACAAUGACUUUAUCUUAGGCGAAUAUAUAAAAACUUGUUUAAAACGUUUUUGCUUGAUACUAUAAAAUAAUUCAUGACUUUAAUAAUGGCAUAUUGUGUAAGAUGUUUUUACCUUUCACAUAUUUGACACUUGAUAUUUUUAAGUUUUCAGAUUAUAAUCUAUGUAUUUAUAAGACUGGCUUAGAAAUUAUUUAUAAGACUGGUAAAAGCUUAGAAAUGUUAAUUUCAAAAAUUGAAUUUGAAACUCUAGAUUUUAUAUUCUGAUUAUUUUAUAUAUACAGUACAGAACCUGUU